rnacentral:rRNA from 1 species
GGUGACCUCUGGAAAGUCCCCGAGUUGCACCCCUU